AAACCGAUAAACCCAAAUGGGUUUGUGCUGGGCCUCGCCCGACGGGCGUCGCCUCGAAGCCAUCGGUCUCCAUGAGCGGACGAGAUCCAUUAGGACUGACCGUCUGGAUGACUUGAAUGAUAAUCCG
rnacentral:misc_RNA from 1 species